UACAGAGGUCUCAAGCGUUGUUCGGAUUCAUUGGGCGUAAAGGGUGCGUAGGUGGUGAUGCAAGUCUGGUGUGAAAUCUCGGAGCUCAACUCCGAAAUUGCACCGGAUACUGCGUGACUCGAGGACUGUAGAGGAGAUCGGAAUUCUCGGUGUAGCGGUGAAAUGCGUAGAUAUCGAGAGGAACACCUGCGGCGAAGGCGGGUUGCUGGGCUGACACUGACGCUGAUGCGCGAAAGCCAGGGGAGCGAACGGG
rnacentral:rRNA from 1 species